GAUUAAUACUUUAUAUUAGAAGAUUAGAUUUGCAUUUUAAUAGAGGAUUAUUUCCUUAGUCCAUGGAUUU
rnacentral:tRNA from 1 species